GCCCCUCUCUGCCGGCAGCUGCGCCCGCAGGGCUGGCACCGUGCGCCGCACCGGCGCGGCAGUGCUGCCGAGCCCGGCCGGCUCCUGCCUGCUCUGCGGAAGAAAGGAGCAGGUGACCUGGCCCCCCGAGCUGGGGCUGCUCCGGCUGACAUCCAGCGGGAAGGAAAAUCCCCUCCCAAGCGCUCCUCAGGCGGCGAAGGCUCUGCCCGCAGCGGGCUCCGGCUGCGCUGACGAGGGCAAUGCCCAGGCUUCUCUCAUCCUUGGGCGUCUUCUGCGAGGAGAUGAGCAGGGUGGUGCUGAGGAGACGGCAGCGGCGGUGGGAUGCUCCGUCAGGGGGUCGCGGCGAGAGCAGCAGGGGCCCCCAGCUCCUCUAAACCGAGGUCGAUGCGAACCGUGCUGGCUCUCCUGGUGAUAAAAGCGGCCAAGGAGGAUUAGCCUUAGCUCAUUAAAGGUUAAGCUCAAGGCUGGGUCCUGCCUGCAAGGCUUCCCAUCCCGAGAGCGGCGAGGGUUAACGUUUGGGGUGUCCUCCCCCCUGCUUCAGCACCGAUUCCUAUUAAAGCAUCCUAACCAUGA